UACGAAGGGUGCAAGCGUUAAUCGGAAUUACUGGGCGUAAAGCGCACGUAGGCGGCUUUGCAAGUCAGAGGUGAAAGCCCGGGGCUCAACCCCGGAAUUGCCUUUGAGACUGCAUCGCUAGAAUUGUGGAGAGGUAAGUGGAAUUCCGAGUGUAGAGGUGAAAUUCGUAGAUAUUCGGAAGAACACCAGUGGCGAAGGCGACUUACUGGACACAUAUUGACGCUGAGGUGCGAAAGCGUGGGGAGCAAACAGG
rnacentral:rRNA from 1 species